rnacentral:lncRNA from 1 species
GGACAACUGAUUAACAUCACAGUCAACAUAACUGAUCAACAGUCCAUUUUAACAACAACAACCACUUUAACUGUUUCAGUUAUUGAGAGUUUAUGUGAUACCAUCAUCAGUAGCAGUGAUGACAGAUCCACUUCAACUUCAAUAUCUCUGACAAUCAUUGAUAAUACAUUAGUAUCAGAAACUUCAAGCAGCAUAAAACCAUCAACAAUAUCAAGCUCUACUUCCAUCAUAUCAC